AAAGGACAGAAAUGUAGGGAUUUUAUCAGAGCUGGCCUGAUCUCCACACAGAAAGCUACAAGAUGAACAAGUUUCUCGCCCUGAUCCUGAUCCCAUGCCUAGUGGCCUUUGUUGUGGCCCAGUACCCCGGAUAUGGUACCCCCGGGUACGGGAUGGCAGGCUACGGUUCCGGUAGCGGUCUGAGUAACUACUACUACAAUUACGGAAACCAACAACAGAAACAGAGCUCCAAUUUCGCUCUCUUGAUCUCUGGUCUCCUGCUGUUGUUCGCCUUCAACAUAACCGGAACCCUGACUGGUUAAACGUAACCCAGGGAGGUGGAGAUCGGCCGGGUACUCAUAAAAAUCAUGAUUCCACAGGACUACCAAACAUAGCUGUGAUAUUGCGCGAUGUAUCUGUAUUGUUGUUGUUGCUAUUGUUUUGUACUAUUAUUAAAAACACUAUUCGAUAAA
rnacentral:lncRNA from 1 species